GGAGCACUGCUCCCUGCCGCUUCAAUAGUUACAUAUUACAAGGAGGGAGCUGCAUGCCGGUAGCUCCCUCCUUGUAAUAACCUGCACGAACAAACAUACACUGAUACUCAGAUACACUGAUACAUUGUGUUUGUUUGUUCGGCUGAUAUUUCUAUUCACUCAUUCGUCUGUCUGAUGAAUGAAUGAAUGAAUAGAUGAAAUUCCCGUUCGCAUGUCCAGGUGUUUCACUGGGCAUGUGCGGGAAUCUCAGUGUCUGCCUAGUGUGGGCUGAUGACGUGUCCCUGAGGGACUUCACCUACCCACACAAAGAUGGCUGCGCCCUGAAUCAAGAUGGGGGCAGAAAAUAAG